UACGGAGAGUGCGAGCGUUAUUCGGAAUAACUGGGCGUAAAGGGCGCGUAGGCUGUUUUAUAAGUCUGAUGUGAAAUCCCGUGGCUUAACCACGGAAGUGCAUUGGAUACUGUUAGACUAGAGUGUCGGAGGGGAGAACGGAAUUCCUGGUGUAGAGGUGAAAUUCGUAGAUAUCAGGAGGAACAACGGGAGCGAAGGCGGUUCUCUGGACGAUUACUGACGCUGAGGCGCGAAAGUGUGGGUAGCAAAC
rnacentral:rRNA from 1 species